GGGGAUAUAGCUCAGCUGGGAGAGCGCCUGCCUUGCACGCAGGAGGUCAGCGGGUUCGAUCCCGUUUUCCCCCCCA
rnacentral:tRNA from 1 species